AGGACUGGAGUUUGACACCUGCUUUUAGUAGAAGAAAUCUACAGGGUGGGCCAUACGUUUCCAUACAUGGGAGAAUGUAAAAUGUAUAUUUCUUUUAUAUUUCAGAUACCCAAGAAGAUGCGUUUGAAAAAAGAGCAAAGAAUUGAAAUUAUACUGAUGGCUGGAUCGGGAAGCAGUUGCAUGGUUGCACAAAACUUUAACAGGAAACAUGGAACGAGCGUCGCACACACAACACUGUGGCAAAACGUAUUUGCAAGUUUCAGAAAAGUGGAAAUGUUGCAGAUCAACCACAAAGUGGUCCGAGACAUGCAGC